GGACCAAUAUGCUCAGUUGGUAGAGCAUUGGGAUUUUAACCUAAUGGUCGCAUGUUCAAGUCCUGCUAUACCCA
rfam:Triticum aestivum genome assembly, contig: Triticum_aestivum_CS42_TGACv1_scaffold_328182_4BS